rnacentral:tRNA from 1 species
UUAAUUGAAACCAAAAUAGAGGUUUAUCACUGUUAAUGAUAAAAAUGGACCUUUGACUGUCCCAAUUAAG